rnacentral:lncRNA from 1 species
CGCCGCCGCUCCGCCGCCGCAGGGCGGUGAGCCUGGGGCAGGGCUCCCUCCGCCGGUUACCAGGCAUGGCGCGGGCUGCGGCGCCCCCGCAUCCACCCCGUCGCCGCUGGGGCCGCCAUUUUGCCGGGGAGCCCGUCGGGACAACGCCGAUUGGCCGCCGCCGCACGGCACCGGGCCGCCAUUGGCCCCGCAGCGUGAGGGCGGGCCGACGGACGCGGCAGGGAACUGCGGCGGGUUAGCAGCGUGCUCGCGCCCGCCGCCCCCCCCCCGGCUCGGCUCGGCUCGGCCUGGCCCGCCUCCUGUCUGGGCGGGAAGCCGUGCUCUCGGGCGCAGCCCGACCCCAAACCCGUGGGGCGGCACUGACCCUCGGUCCGGCGGUGGCUCGUGCCCCGCGCUGGUUGCUCCCAUCUUGUCUCGUGCAGCGUUUCAGGUCCCUGCUGAGGUCCACUGGGUGUUGAGGGAGUGUCCUCAGAGAGGGAAAAACAAAAAUGAGGCAGGGAUCAGCUGUUCCAGCCCUGCGUGGGAACUGGGGCUGGCAAACAGAGGCUGCCAGAAGCCAGAUUUGGUAAAAUGGAUACUGAGAAGAGGCCAAAACCAAAGCCUGCACCAUCCAGAAAAGUUCAACAGGUAUCGAUUUCAAAGACACUUUCAUCAGAAGAGAUUUGUCAGCCGUCGGAUGGAAUUUCUGGUCGCGACCAGAAGGAGAUGGCAAGGUUGGAGUAUCAGGUAG